rnacentral:rRNA from 1 species
UGGGGAAUAUUGCACAAUGGGCGCAAGCCUGAUGCAGCCAUGCCGCGUGUGUGAAGAAGGCCUUCGGGUUGUAAAGCACUUUCAGCGGGGAGGAGGGCGUUAAGGUUAAUAACCUUAUCAAUUGACGUUACCGACAGAAGAAGCACCGGCUAACUCCGUGCCAGCAGCCGCGGUAAUACGGAGGGUGCAAGCGUUAAUCGGAAUUACUGGGCGUAAAGCGCACGCAGGCGGUUGAUUGAGUCAGAUGUGAAAUCCCCGGGCUUAACCCGGGAAUUGCAUCUGAUACUGGUCAGCUAGAGUCUUGUAGAGGGGGGUAGAAUUCCAUGUGUAGCGGUGAAAUGCGUAGAGAUGUGGAGGAAUACCGGUGGCGAAGGCGGCCCCCUGGACAAAGACUGACGCUCAGGUGCGAAAGCGUGGGGAGCAAACAGG